rnacentral:lncRNA from 1 species
CUCAUCGUCCACUUCCACCUACGGGGCAUCCGCCACUCCCUCUCUGCUAUGCCCAGUCCUCUUCCCAGGUGCCCUGAGCUCAGCCAUUACCCAGGCUGGCACCGCCUCCCACACUGAUCUCAAAGGUCUUCCCAGCCACCAACGUGGGCCAUCGGACUCCCACACUGAUCUCAAAGGUCUUCCCGGCCACCGACAUGGGCCAUCACUCCACACUGAUCUCAAAGGUCUUGCCAGCCACCAAUGUG